rnacentral:rRNA from 1 species
UACGGGGGGUGCAAGCGUUGUUCGGAAUUACUGGGCGUAAAGGGCUCGUAGGCGGCCAACUAAGUCAGACGUGAAAUCCCUCGGCUUAACCGGGGAACUGCGUCUGAUACUGGAUGGCUUGAGAUUGGGAGAGGGAUGCGGAAUUCCAGGUGUAGCGGUGAAAUGCGUAGAUAUCUGGAGGAACACCGGUGGCGAAGGCGGCAUCCUGGACCAACACUGACGCUGAGGAGCGAAAGCCAGGGGAGCAAACGGG